AUAUUAAUUUGCUCUUAAACUACAGUCACCCAAAGGACCACAGCCCACCUCAAGGCCCACCAGGCAUGCUAACUAACCAGGUUAGGCCAGGCCCACUGAUGGGGCAGUAGCCAUGGCGCAUGUGGGGGCAGGGAGAGGGGCACUCCCCUCAUAAUGACAGCAUGGUUAAACAACUAUAAAAAACAUUUGACUAUGCCUCGGCCUUAUACAAACUUUAUAACUUCCAUCUUAUAAUAAAAUUGCAGAAUAGCAUGGCUAAGCAACCUUUAUAAUCCUUAUCUCAUACAAGCCUUAUAAUUUUUUCUUCUAUAACCAACAACUUCCUUAUAACAAAACAUAUAAAAACCAACAUAUUUUUAACCCUAUUUGCUCAAAUUUUAGAGGCAAGACCCCUCUAAGCCCACGCAUAAAAGCCCGUUCCACAGCACUCUCUUGUGGGCUCGCUCCUCUCCCAUGCCAUCGCGGCAGAGGCGCCCCUGGCAGCGGAGCAGUCGGGCCAGGUGCGACUCCGGGCGACCCGCAGGGCGACAAGCACGACGCAGGGCCAGGUGCGACCGCCAGGGCGACAGGUGCCACGCCCGGCGACAGGCGCGACCCGCAGGGCUACAGGCCCGACCCGCAGGGCGACAGGUGCCACGCCCGGCGACAGGUGCGACCCGCAGUGCAACAGGCCAGGCUCUCAGCCCCGCCCGCCGCUGCUCACGUGCAGCAACUGCGCCCGCCCGCAGGGGGCGUGCUUCGGGGCUGGGCGUCCGCCGGGGGCAGCUUAAGGGACACAGGCAGCGGGGACCCUCCCGAAAGGCUGGUAUGACAUGAGGCAUUGUCAUCGUUAUCAACGCCUUUCCUCGGAGUUACCAAGUGUGACUGUGAGGAAAAAGUGAGAGCUAGUGCUCUCCUUUGCUGGUGUUGAUGCAUCAAGUUGCCUUGUUUGGGAUGUCCAUGUGACAGAACUGGGGGAGCUUCUGGCUACUUGCCAUCUAGAGACUGAGGCUCUCAAUCCAGCUGCUCAACAGCAACUGAACAAA